rnacentral:rRNA from 1 species
UACGGGGGGGGCAAGCGUUGUUCGGAAUUACUGGGCGUAAAGGGCUCGUAGGCGGCCAACUAAGUCGGAUGUGAAAUCCCCAGGCUUAACCUGGGAACUGCAUCCGAUACUGGAUGGCUUGAAUUCGGGAGAGGGAUGCAGAAUUCCAGGUGUAGCGGUGAAAUGCGUAGAUAUCCCCAAGAACACCAGUUGCGAAGGCGGCUGACUGGACACAUAUUGACGCUGAGGCUCGAAAGCAUGGGGAGCAAACAGG